UCGUGACCUGGCUGAAGUCGGACGCCCAACCGACUGCGCCACCCAGGCGCCCCAGGUGCCCCUAUUUUAAAAAACCCAUGUAUACCCGGACCCGUGCGGUUCGAACCCAUACUGUUAAAGGGUCAACUGUAUAGUUUAGCUCAAAUUUACGUUCUGUGCCUGCAGCCACUUACUGCUUCCCUGGUUUCCCCCACCCCAGUAGAGGAAGUUACUUCUGUCUCUGUGAUCCCCUUUUCGUAUUGGUUGAAUGAGUGGAUACCGCAACCCCCCCCCCUCCCAGGAAUAGAGACAGUGGUUCCCCCUUCUACCUGCCGAAAUGUACAUUUGUGAGACGUGUUCACUUAAACGAUGAUCGCGCAUUCACUAGCUCAUCCACUCUUCAUGAAGACCCUGUUAGGAAGCUCUCACUAUUCUUGUUUUAUAGAUGAGGAAUCGGACUCAGACUCCCAAUUCCCCUCCAACCCACUGCUAGUUAAAAGGCAGAGCUGGCUCUUGAACCAAAGACUUCUGGUUCGUGACUUCUCUUUCCCUGAAUAUUAGUCUUGCCCGACCCCAAACACACAGGAAAAAUAGGUGCAUGGGUCCACUGGAGCAAGGCCCGGGACUGCAGAGACCUGCAGGGGCAAAAGGCAGGGACAGGUGGAAAGAAUCUUCUCGGAGUGACACGCAGGAAAACAUUUGUACCAAUGAAGUCUGGCCUCCAGCCACCAAUGUUUGGCUCCCUUCAAAUCUCUGGCUCUUUCUCUUUAAGCAGAGGAGGCCCGAGGAGGGCCACCUGGACAGACUUCUGACAGAACGCCUCCCUCUCUGCCCAGCCUGCCACCCUCCCAGGGCAGCCCUGUCACCCUGAAAGAAUUCUUCCUCAGUAGAUUUGCUCACCGGGCAUGAGCACAGUAACAUGGAGGUUUGUUUGCCAGUUCCCAACAACAUAAAAACAAGCCAUCCCCUCCCUCCCUACCCCCACUGGGGCCCAGAACAGAUGCAACAACCCCUCAGGAAGCAGAGAGAAGAGAGCAAGCUCGUUGAGGAAAGAUCACCCCGGCCACCCUGCCAACUUCUUGCUGUACGGUAGUCAGAGGUCUGAAGGUAGAAACCCGAAACAGAAAGCUUUCGAUUUCUAAAUCCGCUGUAGUUGGUUUUCUCAAGACAAACCAAACUUUCUUCUGCAUACGUUCCUGUCAUCUUGCCAAGUCAUGAUUUGUCACAGCAAAAAUGUGUGAUUGGUCCAACUGGUAUCAUCCCAUUAAUGAGAAAACCCGGCUUUAUUCACAAACACUUUCCCCCCCAAGACGUAAGUUUUGCAUUAAUCUCAUAUUGGAAAUUGGUUAAUAGUCCAGAUGAUGCUGGGGUGUUUUCCUUUUUAUAAAUGAGGUGCAUUUACAGUCUCUACCGCUAGAGUAUCAUUUAGUGAAUGGUGGCUCUGCUCUGCAGAUGGGAGAGGCCAGAUUGUCGUGGAUGUGGAUAAAAAAUGAUCGUUUGGGCUAAAACCGCAGAGGGGAAGCAGAUGUGACACACAAAAGAAGUAGAAUCCAUUCAGCCUCCUUCCUUUAUUAAAACAAAGUCUGCUAAUUUGUCUUAUUUUUAAAAGCCCUCUGAAUACAAACUCAUGUGUUACGUCUAGGCAAAGUGGAAACCAGCAUCGUUCCUGCCUUCAAGAAGUUUAUAGUCCCUGACAAAUGUUGUUUGAUCUAACAAUUAUUGUAGUUGCCAAUUUUUCUCUGUAAUUGUUCAAAAAUUUCCAGCCUCUCAUCAAAAGUGCAGCUAGCCUGGGGAAAGGUGAAAAGGAAGAAGUAGGGAGACAAGGCAAAGUGCGGAGGGCAGAGGAACGGCGUAACAGUGAAAAGCACGGAAAGGCAAGGACAUAAGGAAGGAUGCAGCAGGUAAGGCAACAACAAACUACGGCAGAAAAUAACUACGGCGAUGAGGAGUACAAACACGUACCGAAUCCUUACGGUAUGUUAGGCGUGAUGUUAAGUGCAGGGCGGUCUUUCUUACUGUGAGACAAGAGUUUUAGUGCCAGUUGUUUAUUUGGGAGGAGAUCCUAGGAAACACAGUAGGGAAGUAAAAGAAGUGAGAACGGGAAGUGAAGGACGCAUGAUGGUUGCUACCUUGGGCAACUGGAACCCAGUACUACUUGAGAAAACCUUGCAGGUAGUGGAGCGUGCACAUAUCAGACUCACCCAUCGUAGGGGUGAGGGGGACAGGACCUGGGUACUGACCCUCCAACUCCUCAGCUAAAGGCUGCUCCCAGGUGUUGCUAACUCCCCGGUACGUACGACCUGGGGCAAGCACGGAUAAGGUGGGGUCUGGCCGCCAGAGAAAGUCCCCAGGCAGAGGGAUGCACAGGCUGUUAGAAUCUGCGGCCAUGUACAUGGAAAUGGUAGGGGCUGUGGGGAUAUGGGUGGGGCUCCAAGAGCAUCUGCUACCCAAACAUUAACUCAUUUCAUUUUACAAAAACCUUGUGAAGUGGGAACUAUUACAUUUCCACUUUCCCCCAGAGAACACAGCCUAGGAGAGUAAGAAGUGGCAUCUGUUGUUUUUACCCAGUUACCAUCAGUUCCCUCUUCCAGUAACAGCCCCCUGCUUUCCCUUUGAGAAACAUUCCCUCCCCCGGCUCGGUGAUCUGACCUAACUGCCUCACUCCAGAUAUGUGCCUGGGACCCAAGCCGUCCUGGUAAGAGCUCUCCCUCCGAUUUUCACAGGAGCUGUAGGGCAAGAGGUAUGCUCUUUCUGCUGGGAGAGCAAAGCCAGGAAGAUGUAAGCCUGGAGCUGUUCCAGACCGUGUUACUCCCACGAGAAUGAACCCAACUGGGCUUGAGAAUGAAGCCAGCCCAGAGGAAAGCCAGCCUGAAGAUCCAGCCCUGACAGGAAGCACCCCGGGUUCCUGACAUACAUCUUUUGAACAACUGGACCCAGCCCAACCUGCAGCUAGACACUUCCCUGGGUUCUCCAAAUUCACAAGCCAACAAACUCCUCUUUAAUUAUAAGCCAGUUUGAGUUGAAUUCAUAGAAGUUAAGCAGCUUGGCCAAGAUCACACAUCUAAUGAAUGCGGAAGUAAUAUUCAAACCCGAGUAACCCUAACUGCAUACGGCGCCAUGGCACAUGUCCUCAACCAUCAUGAACCACAAAAGCAAUUUAGCAUCCACCACAGGACAGAGCUCAGAGCCACAUCAUCCUUCUCAUUGCUUGGCCUUCACUUGGAGCCUCUCUCCUUCCAGAAGCAGCUGCCAGUUUGUUUAAGAGGAUAAGGGAUCAGGGUGCCUCUCGGUUUUAUUUGAAUCGUCCCACCAAAUCAUUAAAAGUGCAGCCAUGUCAGCAUGGUGGUCCCUUGAAGAAAGCCUGGAGUAGACGUGAAAGAAAAUUUGAAAAGAAAAGAAAUAAGGAGUCGAGGCCUUCAGGUUUUUGUUGGUGGUUGGUGUUUUGUUUUGUUUUGUUUUGUGCUUUUUUGUUUUGAUGAGCCAAUCAGGAGAUAUUUAGGGACAACUCCUGUUUUAGUCGAGACUCAUGGUUACAAGUGAUGAAAACUCCACUUCCCUGGCUAAAGCAAAAGAGAGAGAGAGAGAGAGAGAGAGAGAGAAAGAGAGAGAGAGAGAGAGAGAGAGAGAGAGAGAGAGAGAGAGUUUUGUUAGCUUCUCUAACUGAAGAGACCAAGGAUAGGGCUGUCUUCAGGCAAUGCUGGAUCUACGCAAGGCUCGAACAGCACGAACAGUUUCUUGGUGUUGCUUGCCUUGGGGUUGACCUCAUGCCCAGUCGCUCACAGAGCCUCCGGUAAAGCACCUGGCUCAUCGCCUCCUUUUUACCGGUGGUUCUAACAGAAAGAGAGUAGACAGAUGCCCCUCUCUCUCAACAGUCCCGGACAAAACCCUGAGACUACAAGUCACUGGCUCUGAUUGGGUCCAGGCAUCUUUACACUAGCCAGUGGGAAGCGAUACUCUUGACCGACCAGACUUGAGUCACGUGGCCAUCCGUGGCUCUGUUGGUGGAAUCCACGCUACCAAAGCAUGUAAACCGUGAGAGCGGAGAAGAUGUGGUUUCCCAGAGGAAAACGAGGGCACAAUCUGGUAGCCUCCUAUUUCUGGAAGAACAAUGAUUCGGCUGUCAGGCAGGCAAACCGAUUGACAUUACAGAGGACCCCUGACCUCUUCCUCGUCUCUAAAGAGUUCAUACUUUGUUCGGGGAAAAGUGACACUGUACGUAGAGCAACAAAGAAAAUAUAUGAUAAUAAAUGAAUUGCAGAUUCUUAUUCGCAGAGCAACAGCGUCCACUUCAAUACUUUAAGCAGAUAAGUCUGAGGGAACUUAUGUAAUUACCGGGAUGGGCCAGCGAAUUGGGUUUAGAUGCUACAAAUAGGAACAAAACAGCCAGAUAAAGAAGCCGCGUGCCCGUAGGGCGUGGACACCAGCCACUCUACUUCCCGCUGCCCUGGAAAAACAAGGCUUUGCCAGACUGAUCUCCUGCCCCGAGCAGCCACCAUACCUUGCGCACUGCUGCCUGUCCGUCUAGAGCAGGCCCCUUGUUUGGGGGCACCUUAGUCACAUGCAUGGCCUUUUCCGCAAAGAAAUCUGGGAAAUGUAGUUUUCUGGCCUCUAAGUACCAAAGGGUUAAGUAGGAGGCGUGGCAAUGGAUACUGAGUGAGUGGCUUUACAGUAUCAGCCAUUGAGCAGAGGACGGGAGUUCAGUGGGAGAGAAGCCAAGAAAGGCUGGACUUGAGAUCGGCUCACCUGUCACGCUGGUUUAUCUGACUUGGCUGCUACACCUGCUGAAAACUGAGAGGCUCUGGAGAGCCAGGGGGUGAGCCGUCUACAGAAGCUUGGACGCUCAGACCACCUGGGGCCACCAUUCCUGGAGGUCCCUUUGAAGAUCCGAGGGCACGUUGUGUUUGUCCGUAAGAGCCAAUCAGGAGGAAGUCUGGACCACGUUGCGAGAAGAGUGCCUGGAAUGCCGUUUCUAUCCUUUCUGCCUGGCAAAGACCUCCUCCAAAUCUAGCUUGGAAGUCACUUGUUUGGAGAAAGCCCUUUGUACCAGCCCCCGAGGAAACUCUGUGCCUCUCUUCUCCCUGUUUCUAACCACUCCCACGGCCCAUUUCCCACAAGCCGGUCUUACUUUGAUUUUCCCCACCUCGCACAGGACCUAUUCGAUAAACGUUGACUGAACAAGACAGAAUAAACUUUAAAAAAAAAAAAAAAAAAAGCAAUCCCCUGCACAGAAAGCAGUAAUAAAGAAAAUGUGUUCCACUACCACCUUGAGACUUCAAUUAAUGUGCUUUCUCCUCGCGAAUCCUUGCUUCCAAGCAAACAGAACCUGACAGCCUGAAUUAAAUCAUUUAUCUUUCUAGUUCUCCGCCUUGGCUCUCACACUAGUGGAAAAGCCCUGAUAUUUCAUAAGAAACUGGCAAAACCUGAAGCUAUGGGCCAGCACCUUGACUUUAUCAGGUUGUACAACCCACAUACGCGCACAGACAGGAGAAAUGCCCAGCUCCGAUCUGUUACCCAGGCCGAAUUAAACACCGGAUGACUCUC